CUCAGGAUGAACGCUAGCUACAGGCUUAACACAUGCAAGUCGAGGGGCAGCAUUGGAGUAGCAAUACUCAGAUGGCGACCGGCGCACGGGUGAGUAACACGUAUCCAACCUGCCGCUUACUCGGGGAUAGCCUUUCGAAAGAAAGAUUAAUACCCGAUGGUAUAAAGAGUUCGCAUGUUCUCUUUAUUAAAGAAUUUCGGUAAGCGAUGGGGAUGCGUUCCAUUAGAUAGUUGGCGGGGUAACGGCCCACCAAGUCUACGAUGGAUAGGGGUUCUGAGAGGAAGGUCCCCCACAUUGGAACUGAGACACGGUCCAAACUCCUACGGGAGGCAGCAGUGAGGAAUAUUGGUCAAUGGACGAGAGUCUGAACCAGCCAAGUAGCGUGAAGGAUGACUGCCCUAUGGGUUGUAAACUUCUUUUAUAAGGGAAUAAAGUGAGGGACGUGUCCCUUUUUGUAUGUACCUUAUGAAUAAGGAUCGGCUAACUCCGUGCCAGCCGCAGC
rnacentral:rRNA from 1 species